UACGUAGGGGGCACGCGUUGUCCGGAAUUAUUGGGCGUAAAGAGCGUGUAGGCGGUCCGGUAAGUCGGCUGUGAAAGCCCGGGGCUUAACCCCGGGUCUGCAUUCGAUACGGGCAGGCUAGAGUGUGGUAGGGGAGAUCGGAAUUCCUGGUGUAGCGGUGAAAUGCGCAGAUAUCAGGAGGAACACCGGUGGCGAAGGCGGAUCUCUGGGCCAUUACUGACGCUGAGGAGCGAAAGCGUGGGGAGCGAACAGG
rnacentral:rRNA from 1 species